UCAAUGGCCAAUCAAAUUUCUUCACUCCCACUUCCCUUCUGCAGAUUUCGUGUCCCAAGGAAGGCUCUGCACAGCUCCCAUGAACAUGUGAAUUUCAAGAUUAAAAUUUUGUGGCUCUCUAAUCUGCCCAACCACUUUAUCCAGCUUAUUCACAUACUCCUAUGAAUUAUUAUCAAAAUUUCUUUUUCAACUAGCUCUAUUCACCCUCCGGUCUCUCCCAACUUGCUUUCUAGGUCUCAUCUCCUCCACGACCUCCUCCCUCGCCUAGCUUCCCCACGCUAAGACUCACCUUCUCUGACCUCCUAUGCUCCCAGCCCGAACCAGAACCUGCGAUCCGCACCGCCCCGUCCCCUUCAGCUUCCUCUCCCACCAGCGUUUCGAAGGAGGAGGAGUACUUUAUCUCCAAGGUCUGCGAUCCGCACCGCCACCGUCCCCUUCGGCACCAUUUCCAGGCCAAGACUUCGCCAGUCUUACUGCAUGAUGGUCACUGCUCUUCGCAAAGUCCAGCUACUGUUUAUAGACGCAUUAUACCCCAGGUCAGUAUAUGGGUAUUAGGAGCAGCGCUGAAUGAUUGGUGAAAGUCAUGCAGACGAGCAAGAGGAUUGAGGAGAAUAAGAGAACAUGCAUGCAAGGGUGCAAUGAGUUUAUAUCUAUCUAUAUCUUUUUUUCUUUUCUAAUAUAGCCUUCUAAUUAAUAUCAAUACAUUGUCAUGCCAAAUACUGCAUUAGAGAACAAAUGUGCCCCAUAGUCUUAAUUCUGCGUUUUUGCUUAUUUUAUGCCAAAUACUGCAUGCGCCGCAUUCACUUUGGUUUUAUUAGAGAUGCCAACUUAAAUUACUUCUGUCAGUUUUAUAGUAUUAUUAUCUGCAAUCAGAAUUAGUUUAACUUGCCUGAUAUUAAUUCAACUGCAUGUUUGACAUUUGAA